CACGUAGGGGCUAAGCGUUGUCCGGAUUUAUUGGGCGUAAAGAGCUCGUAGGCGGUUUGUCGCGUCUGCUGUGAAAACCCGAGGCUCAACCUCGGGCCUGCAGUGGGUACGGGCAGACUAGAGUGCGGUAGGGGAGAUUUGGAAUUCCUGGUGUAGCGGUGGAAUGCGCAGAUAUCAGGAGAACACCAAUGGCGAAGGCGGGUCUCUGGGCCGAUACUGACGUGAGGAGCGAAAGCGUGGGGAGCGAACAGG
rnacentral:rRNA from 1 species